CACACACACACACACACACACACAUUUUAGCUGUAAAUAUUUACUCGAAUGACAAAGAACGACCCUGUGUGACGCAAUAAGUACACAGGAGAUACUGGACGGCGGAAGAAGUUCCAGUGGCAACAUUGGACCAUGUGUUCUCAUUUAGUCUCAGUACUGGUUAUGUUUUGAUGACUAAGGCCUGUGUUAAACGUUGUCUUCUGUUUCGAACCUGUAUCAUCAGCAUGUGUAUCAAUAUUGUUGUUGCAGGCCGAGACUCCCGCCCUGCGUUUCGCGAUAACUUUCGUGUGAUUACCAAUUCAAAAACAGAUGGUAUAGAACUUGGUCUGAAGAACAGCACAGUAAUGUUGGGAGACUCGGCCACCUUCAGGCUGAGGCUACAUGAUAACACUGAGGAGGCCGGUGAGUGGACCAGAGACGACGUCACACUAACUCGUUCUGACAAAACACAAAUCUCUAUCAAUGGAAAGGGCCGUCAGCUGACUGUCACAGAUGUCCAUCCUCCUGAUACAGGGAAAUAUGCUUACAGAGUGGGAGAGGAAAUGACAUCAGCCCACCUGUCAAUAAAUGAAGCCGAUUGCUUCGUUUCUGUUCCUCACCCUCCUCCACCACCGAUCAUACGAAUAUGACCUGCGAGGCAACAAAAUGAAGAUCAUGACAGAAGAAUAUUUUCCUGCAAUUCGGGACACAAGUGUUGGCUUCCAUUGUCUAUUGCUAAUCACCUAUCAGCGCCAAUCAUCUGUUGGCUUCCUUUGUUAGCUUCUACCAUCUGUUUGCUUCCCUUGUUAGUUUCUACCCUUUGUUAAUUUCCACCUUUUGUUAUCUUAUUAAUUUUAAUGUCCUUACAUGCACAUAUAUAUGCUUUCCUGAUUCAUGGCAUUCAUUCACCUGAUGAAGGAGUAAGUAUUUACUCCGAAAAGUUGUGUUCCUCAUCAUAAAGAGGUUGACAUCCAUAUAUUCUCUUCCUUAUGUGUAUCACUUAUAGCUGCCUUUCAAAGACCUGAAGUAGAGAAAUGUUUGAUAUCCUGACGAAAAGUGUCAAAACACACUGUUAUAUGUACUUGCUGAUGUCACAUUUUUAGAUAGUAUGUUGGAUAGUAUGAGUACUGUUUCGGCUUAUACGUGAUGUUUUGCGAUUGUGUUAAGAGAAUACAUAAUCCUGGUAAAUGUUAUUGCUAUUCAAAUGCUUUCUUUGUAAUUUGACAUUAAACGUCUGCAGUACGACUUUCAGUGAUCAUGUUAAUGAGGUUUGGCGGAGCAUUGGUUUUAUCGGACCCUAAUUACUUUAUGAUGGUUGUGUCUCUCUUUGUCUCAGCUCCAAAGCCAUGACGCUGGGAAAGGGCAGCAUUUGUUUAAUGAGAGUAGGUUUUAUCAUGGAGGAUACACUUGAGGUAGAUGGUUCUACUAUUUACCGUACCGCAGGAAGAGACCUGUAGACGUGUAUAAGAUGGCCGUUGCAUAAUGGUCGCCAAGGGGAUCUGAACAUGGAGAUAAAGCAGUGGAUGUUUUCACGGGCUUGUUGAAUAAAUUCCCAGCGCUACUGUCAAUACAUCUUCUACUUGAUCUUUGAUACAUCAUUUUGGUAUUUACAACAUAUAUUUUUGCAAUGUACAUUGAAAGUUUACUCACCAUAUGUUUUAGAGUAUUUGUCAGUUGUGUUGAGCUUACAAGCAAUAAAUGUAAUUUCUGAUAAUAUAAAACGUCUCAUGUAAAACAAGUAAGUAAGUGCAAUAGCAAAUAAUAGUAUUCAUAUCACAUUAAAAUUCAAUGAUAACAAGAUACAUAUGUAAAGCAUGUAUUUCACAUUCAGAGCCAGGAGGAAAACUGAUUAAAUAAAGGGACGAAGCUUGCCCCUAAAUAUAUGCAGAGACAUCCUCUGAAUAUCUAUAUAUGUAAAUGUUACGGUACUGUAGCUAUCUGCACGAACUUUUGCAAAGUGGGCAUAAGGUCACGGACACGAAGGCUAUAGAUACAAAACCAUAUUUGAUUUUUUAGAUGAUAAAGUACAUUAUCUGGAAUAAUAAAUUCAGUUAUUGAUAUCUACAAAUCGAUUUGCGAUAUCAGUAAACAUUUCAUGAUAUAAUAAAAUCAAAUUUGUGAUAUAAAUUCUUUCUUUGGUAUCCAUAAAUGAAUUAUUGAUAUCAAGUAAGAAUCGACAUCUUGAGACCAGACUUGGUGCAGAAAAGAGACACUUACGUGAGGGAAGAAAGUCAACAAUUGAAUUUGAAGAUGCUGUGGCCCAUUUUGUACGAUUGUGAUGAUCAUGAAAUGUAGUGUUGGUUUAUUAUAAAUUGUCGAUUUGUAUUUUAAAUUUGAUGUUGAGACAUUAGAAACCGUUGUGAUAUUAGAAUAUUAAUUGUAAAAUUCAAUCAUGUUCAUGCUGUGAUAAGGAAAUCAUGUGAAAUCAAAUACUAUAUAAAUAAAAAAAA
rnacentral:lncRNA from 1 species